GCCCGCCCCACUGUGGACAUGACCACACAAACUGGGUCACGAUGUCCUAUGUUGGUGAGCAGAACAUUCCAGAGCGUGGAUGACAGCCUCCCCCCCACCACAGGACUGGUAAUACCUGACGCAUGCCCUUCUCUUGCUCUCUACAUUGGCUUGAAUGCACGCACAUCCGCAUGCAGGACUGGAACGAAACGACCGCCCACAUUUUACCGUGUAGGAAGUCCCAGGACACAAACAAUCCACCUGUUACACGAGGACGUAACCAGUGCCCUGUCCUGGUCAUGCUAACGGCUGUGACACGCGGACGCAGACAGCCAUCAGGAGUUUAGAUCUGACUCGACGUGCCAGCGGAUGGAGGCCCAAAGUCAGAGGUGAAACAGCAGAAAUACAGUAAAAUGAUUCUGGAAAUGCGAAAUCAUGAAAGACUACGCUAAAAAAUAAGUGCGACUCUGUUAAAAAUAAGCUGUCCUGUGAGUGGUAAAAAGUAUGCACGCACAUCCGCAUGCAGAUAAAGAAAGUUCUUCCAUAAAGAAAAGUUGGUGCCUUUUGUGUUGGCAUGAAUACUCCUAGUGGUCAGGGCUCAGAAGGAGAGAUGAAAUAUCUCAUCUAGAGCCUGCGUCGUGCAGAGAACACAAACAGCUUCUCUGGGAUUUCGUGGCAAAGACAACCAAGAGUUUAUACUCACAGCCUUCCCUAAAAGUAAUAUGAACAUCAUAAACCCCAUUAUUUCUCCCGCGAAACGUGGCCAGCUGGAGACUUCCAAGAAUACACUUCCAACUUCCCUUGCUAGUAUAAUUACGCCAAUAGUUUCUGCCCAAGAUGGUGUAAGCCAAAGAAUUGUGCGCAGCCGCUAGGAAGAGAGGAGAUGGACUUUCUCCACCAUUUUCCAGAAUUCCGGCUUGAGGCGAGGCCCUGACCCGUUGCUGGGGAUCAGGAGGUGGUGUAGAAGUAGGGACAUCAUCACAUGGCUCUCCUGUGGACUUCCUUUAUAUUCAUGGAAUAAAAUCCUACAUUGUGCAGUAAGCUAAAAAAAA
rnacentral:lncRNA from 1 species